rnacentral:rRNA from 1 species
CUACCCUUGACAUGUACGGAAUCCUGCUGAGAGGUGGGAGUGCCCGAAAGGGAGCCGUAACACAGGUGCUGCAUGGCUGUCGUCAGCUCGUGUCGUGAGAUGUUGGGUUAAGUCCCGCAACGAGCGCAACCCUUGUCCCUAGUUGCUACGCAAGAGCACUCUAGGGAGACUGCCGGUGACAAACCGGAGGAAGGUGGGGAUGACGUCAAGUCCUCAUGGCCCUUAUGGGUAGGGCUUCACACGUCAUACAAUGGUCGGAACAGAGGGUUGCCAAGCCGCGAGGUGGAGCCAAUCCCAGAAAACCGAUCGUAGUCCGGAUCGCAGUCUGCAACUCGACUGCGUGAAGCUGGAAUCGCUAGUAAUCGCGGAUCAGCAUGCCGCGGUGAAUACGUUCCC